rnacentral:rRNA from 1 species
GACGAACGCUGGCGGCGUGCUUAACACAUGCAAGUCGAACGGAAAGGCCCUGCUUUUGUGGGGUGCUCGAGUGGCGAACGGGUGAGAAACACGUGAGUAACCUGCCCUUGACUUGGGGAUAACUGCAGGAAACUGGGGCUAAUACCGGAUAGGAGCUGCUGCUGCAGGGGGGGGGUUGGAAAGCUUGGGCGGUUGGGGCUGGACUCGCGGCUUAUCAGCUUGUGGGUGGGGUAGUGGCUUACCAAGGCUUUGACGGGUCGGCCGCCUGAGAGGGUGACCGGCCACCUUGGGCCUGCGAUACGGCCCAGACUCCAACGGUGGGCAGCAGUGGGGAAUCUUGCCCAAUGGUCGCACGCGUGAUGCAGCAGCGCCGCGUGCGGAAUGCCGGCCUUCGGGUUGUAAACCGCUUUCGCCUGUGACGAAGCGUGAGUGACGGUACUGGGUGAAGAAGCACCGGCUAACUACGUG